rnacentral:misc_RNA from 1 species
AAUAACAACAAAACGGACUAGCGUUUAUCCGCGUCUGCUGUCUUACUGCGUCGGGCUCGAGGUUGUGUGUGCUUCUUCGCCCGUGUGUACGUAGGUCUCUCUACACCUUUUUUCUCUGAGCACCUCUCUGCGAUUCUCACGUGUGGCAUUCAGUGCAUCAUGGCGUGGCUCGGAGACGCGGUCGACGCGCAGUACACAAUCGACACGGUGUCGAAGCAGCAGGCGCUGCUGCCGUCCUCCAACGCCUUUUCGAUCUUCCCGAAGGAUCACGUCCUGCGCAUCUUUCAGCUGGAUGCGCUUGUGCUGCAACAGGAGCUCGUCGAGAUUCUGCAGACGACUCUCUUCCAUGUGCUUGACAUCCCGCCCCUCCAGCACUUUCGCUUCGCCUAUCAGGAGGAGCUUGUGCUCGUUUUGGAUGCCCUGUUGUACCGUCUGUCGGUGUGGCGCAUGGGGCAGUCCAUCGGGGACCGACUGCAGAACUUAGUCCUUCGCGAUGAAGAGCGGGCGCGUCUGCUGGCCCUGCAGAACACAAAGUCGAUCCUGCCCAGCCUCGCUCCAUCCCGCCGACUACUGCUGGUGCACGCAAUCAUGACGCUCGUAAUGCCUUACGUCACCCGCAAGGUGCAGCGAAAGGUGCUAGAGGAGGGAUGGGAGCGUGAGCCUGUCACGACGGCGCGGCAUCGCAUCGCCAAGGCGCUCCGCUAUGGCGUUGUCACAUGGUCUUUGCUCUCUCUUGCCAACACGUUUAACUUCCUGAUGACGGGGAAGUACCGCACCCUCGUCGAGCGCAUCCUGUCUCUCCGUCUCGUCUACGGCUCGCAGCGGAUGAUGCGCUUUACAAAUCUGCUCUACAUGAAUCAGCACGUCCAGUGGCAAACGUGGAUGUCUCUCUUCAGAGCGCUUAGUCUGGGGCGAUACUUCCGGCGACUCAUGAAAAGCCUCAGCUCCGUUGCAUCGUCGUCGGCGUUGCUCUCCAUGAACGAGAACUUGUGCAGCGCGUGCCAUGAGCUGCCGACAGUGUGCCAGCGGUCGAACUGCGGCCACCGUUACUGCUAUUACUGCAUCAAGAGUCGGCUGCUCGAUAGUCAAUCCACCGGCUCCUUUCGUUGUAUAAAGUGCGGCCAAGCCGUGCACAGCUGCGCCCCUGCGUAAGCCGCAAGGGAAUACCCACCUGUCGUGUUGUGCGUAGCCGUCGUCCCUGCUUUGUUGCUCUGCCUACGUGCGUCGGCCUGCCUCUCUCUGUAUGUUUAAGUGAAGUUGUCUGGCUGUAUGGGCUUCCGUAGGUCAUGUGAGAUGGUGGCGAUGGUUCUCGCCGAAGAGCGACGUCGGGUCCCACGACCAUAUGUGUUUGUAUGUGUGUAUGUAUGUAUGCGUGAGGAGGUGCGGCUCUCGGAAUACGUGUGUCGCUGCCGA